rnacentral:piRNA from 1 species
UCUUUAGGGUGACCGAGUAGAAAACCUGC